AGCAGCCGCGGUAAUUCCAGCUCCAAUAGCGUAUAUUAAAGUUGUUGCAGUUAAAAAGCUCGUAGUUGAAUUUCGGGAUCGAUAUGUCGGUCGUGCCUUCGGUACGUACUGGUAUCAUUGGUCUCUCCUUUCUGACGAACCAUGAUGUCAUUAAUUUGGUGUUAUGGGGAGUUAGGACUGUUACUUUGAAAAAAGUUAGAGUGUUUAAAGCAGGCUUUAGCUUGAAUACAUUAGCAUGGAAUAAUGAAAUAGGACGUUCGAACCUAUUUUGUUGAUUUUCUAGGAUCAACGUAAUGAUUAAUAGGGAUAGUUGGGGGCAUUAGUAUUCAAUUGUCAGAGGUGAAAUUCUUGGAUUUAUUGAAGACUAACUACUGCGAAAGCAUUUUGCCAAGGAUGUUUUCAUUAAUCAAGAACGAAAGUUAGGGGAUCGAAGACGAUCAGAUACCGUCGUAGUCUUAACCAUAAACUAUGCCGACUAGGGAUCGGAUGAUGUUAAUUUUUUCAAUGACUCAUUCGGCGC
rnacentral:rRNA from 1 species